AUAAUAGAAGUAAAUUUACUGUCAGUUUCGACCUGAUCUAUGGCCUAGCCCUAUUAUA
rnacentral:tRNA from 1 species